GGUGGUCGGGUGACACACCCCAGAAUCGGGCUCCCUCCUCUCUGGUUCCGGGUGCAACACCCGAGAACUGCA
rfam:Myotis brandtii contig261912, whole genome shotgun sequence.